ensembl:lncRNA
UUUCAAGGUAAGGAAGUGACGUAAGAGGAUGUAGGAGAGGGACGCAGAUUUCAGGCAGCGCUGAUCUUUAUAUAAUCUUCAAGUAACCUGGAAAAUGUCACAUGAUCUGUCUAAUGAUGGUGCCAUACAGGAAAAUAUACGGCGUCAACUUCACGCCACAAGUAUCGUGGUGGUAAAAAUAAAAAAUACACACUAAUCAUAGAAUUGAAUACAAAAUGUUAAAAAUAUCUGGAAAAAAAGAACACAAGAACACAAAAUAAUCGUAAUUAAAAACAGAAUUGUGCUUUCCAUGUUUCAUUUACUCUGAUGCUUCCUCUCUCUCUCUCUCUCUCUGUUAAUUUUUUGUUCAUAAUUUUAUUUUCAUUCACGCAAUUUUCUUUACCUUCGUUUCCAAGUUUUUGUAAUUACAAAACCUACGAACAAAGUGUCACGCAAAUAAGGGGCGGGAUUAAAGUCUCUAUUGGCCUACCGGUUCUAAGCCAACAGCUCUUCUCUAGCCAAUCAAUAAGCAGGGAGUAGAUGACGUCACGGAAGCGCAACUGUGGCUCUGCGUCCGAAAUCGCGUAAUGUAAUAGUACAUACUGCAUUCGAUGCACUACCUAAUGCACAGCUGUUGGAACAGUACGUACUCAUCAGUAUGUGUGUGUAGUAUGAAUACAAUUCCGGACGUACGACCGGUGCAAUCGACUUCGGCUGGAUGUAACUGAUCAGCGAGAGUUGCCGCUUGCAGUCACGGGAGGAGUUGAAAACGGAGCGGUCAAGCCUGACACUUCCCGUAGUGACGCUCGCGCGGUGUUUGCUUUCUAUAAAGAAGACAAAGUGGAUUAGAUGUAAUAUUUCUCAGAACAUAAAAACCCAUGGUAGGAUUCACACAUGACUGAGGCCAAGUGUGCGCGCCGCGAGUGAGUCUCCUUCUUCCCCUGAAUCUGCGUCGCCGAGCGAUGACUCUGACUUCGCUGCACUCAGACUUGAGCUGCUGGCUUUACUGAGGAAGGACAUCGCCGAUAUUUUUGAAAAGGAGCUCCAGGAGACUUUCAGGGUUGCACUGUCUGCUGUUCAGCUUGACCUGCAGGCUGUGAAAACACAGCUGGCUAGUGAUAAAGUUGUUACCGAGACUACCAUAUCAACACUGAAAGGUACUGUUGGGGAAAUGGAGCACACUCUCUCCGGUUGCACCGAUGACAUAGCUCACAUGAAGACUACUAUCGAGUCUCUCACUGCGACCAUGACUCAAUUAGAGAAUAAAUGUGAGGAUUUGGAGUCGAGGUCACGGCUCAAUAACAUUAGGAAAGUGGGAGUCCAGAGGGCGCUGACACAUGUACAACUGCUGCUGUAGCGGCCUUGUUAAAAGAGACGUUUGGUCUGGAGAAGGAGCCGGUUUUGGACCGGUCCCACCGGACCCUUCAGCCGAAGCCCAAGUCUGGCGAACGACCACGAGCUAUUGUGUGCAGAUUCCACUAUCACAGUGACUGUGUUGACAUUUUACACCGUACGAGAGAGCUCCAGCGGAUUAAAGUGAGGGAUUUGACCAUCUUUAUUUCAGCAGAGGAAGCAGGAGACUAUGUUAAACUCUUGAUAUCAGGGUGAACUGUAUCACCUACACAGCGGCGUCUUUUUUGCUCUUCUUUUAUUUUUCAUUUUUUGCACUCGGCCUUCCACCUGUACAGUAUUCGGAUUUUUAUUGAAGAUUUCGUCGUUGCAUUACUUCACCUAGAUUUUGUGGACUCACUCCUCUUAAAUCUACUUCAGUAUUAAUGUGGUUCUCUGUUUUGAGGCUCUGACUGGGUUAGAGUUUCUGUUAAUUUAAUUAUUAGUGUUUUUUCCUCGGCUUUACGUGCUACACUGUUAUAUUAUUUCUUCCAAGUCUUUAAAAGUGUAGGACAUUAUAUUUGUUAUUGUGCGCAGACUGUUCAUCAGACUUGAAGUCAGUGGGGGCUUUUUCUCUUACUGGAACUUUUUGUCUUGGUAAUUUUCUUGAUUAGUUCAGCUUACUCUCCGAGUUGUUUUCACAUUGUGGACAACUUUUGGUUAUUGUGGGAAACACUGCUGUCUCUUUUUUUUUUUUUAUGGAGACUUUGGGUGUGUGUGUGUUUGGGGGAUUGUGAGAGUAAACAAAACAUGCCAAUGCUUUGAAGGAUGUGAACUGGAACGGAGUAAUGUUAGUCAAUUGCGAAUCUGUUUUUAGAGGUUUUAAACCUAACAUGGUGAACAAAUUAUAUUAUAGAAUUCAGGCAGUUUUACUGGGGUUAUCUCAUACAGUGUGGCAAGUAAUAAUCUGGAAAGACCUUUGUAAUAUCACAGUCUAAAACUGGAUUUAAAGAGAAGCAAAUCAGUAAAUGAAUCACAUGUAAAUGAAUCACACGAAUAUGAAUCACACGAAAAUGAAUCACAUGAAAAUGAAUCACAUGAUUAUGAAUCACAUGAUUAUGAAUCACAUGUAAAUGUAUCAUAUGAAAAUGAAUAAAUAAAUUAAAAUGAAUAAAUGGCUUCAUACAAAACACCUACAAGAGAGCUUACUCCUUGCAAGUUGAUGCAAAGCAUUGGGUCUGUAACCUCUUCAACAGCAAUGACGGUAGACUAGGGCUGCACAAUUAAUCGAAUAUCGAUCGCAAUUACGAUUUUGACUGCCCACAAUUAAAUGAACAUGAUCGACUGCGAUAUUAACGUUUAAAUUUCAUCCUCCGCUAAUAGAAAACUCCACUGCAAAUCACAUCAAGCAAAUCACUUACAGCCAAUCACCAUAGAGUGGCGCAGGGAUGAUGUCAUUUUGUAGUGCCAAAAUCCCGAAAUUGAGUUAGCAUUUUAGCCCUCGAGCUGCUAGCUUUGCUUCGAGCUCCAGCGCUUUGUGUGAGGAGAAAUCAUGACAUUAACAUGAUACUAAAUGGCACUACAGAGGUUGUCGGGGCUAUUAAAUGUCACCGUGCCAAACGGGAAAAAAAUUUGCAGAUAAACUCAAGGCUCUAUAGUGCGACCAUUUCACUCACAUUUGUGACUGGAAAGUAUUUUGUGCGACUGUGAAUAAAUAUUUAUUCUCACCGGUGCGAGUGACCUGUUCGGAGUUGUAUAAUACAAUCAGGAUAAAAACUACAACUCCAAAAUGCAUCUACACCACGCAACAGUUACUUUCACACUGCUUUUCAUCUCCUCAGUCAACCGAACAAAUGUGGAAAUACUGCAAAGAAGCCAUUAUGAUGACAAGUAACUAUGUACAUCAUCUGAUUCAACUUCCUAAUUCACUUCAUUUAAACUCAUGGUUGCCAGAUAUCACUAGAAAAGUCAAAUCCAGUUUCCAUGUUUUGAUUUAAACCCUCCCAAAACACAAUAUUAUCAGCACACAUGGACACUGUACUGGGGGAAUAAAUCUAAAACUGAUAAACAAAAAUAAAAGUGCAAAAAUAUUUUUUUUAAAAUGUGCUUAGUUAUAAAUAAAUAAUUUAAUAUAAAAAAUAGGUAUUAUAAUAACUUCAUUAAAUAUAAAUAAAAUGAGAAAUAAAAUAAUGUUUAAUUACUAUGGGUUGCAUUUAAUAUAAAUAUGACAUUGAGCUUAGUAAGCUAUUCCUUAGAAAGCUAUUAGCCUUUUUCCUAAUAUUGAUCAUUUUUGUGUUAGUCUACUUUUAAUUAGGACUCUCUAUUUUUUUAAGAUAUUUAAAAAUAAAUAUUUUAUGCUUGUUUAUUUAUCAAUUAACCAACAGUAUCUCAUUGCUAUUAUUUUAACUCAAUUAACAGUGACCAUGAGCAGAGAGUUUACAUUUAACUGUUUAUGACAGACCUCCUGAUUAAAGUUUAAAGUGUCUUUAAAAAAAAUAAAUGAAUUAAGCAAGACUGUUCAAAGUCAGCUGUUAUUUUUUAGGAUGUAAUCUAUAUUAUAAAACAGAUUUUAAUCAUUACAAGUGAAAUGUGUCAUGUUUUUGAUGUUAAAAUACAUUCUCCGAUCCCAGCUUAAUGUGAAAAGACAACUAUAAUUAAGCCUUUUGCCUGCUGAUUUCCACAAAAACUGCACACUCAGUGGUGUGUUCAACAUUGCUGUUUGCAAUACCCCAAAUAGAAUAAUUAGCUCAUCAAUAGCAUAGAGUUUGGUGUGACUACCUGUUUGACAGACAUGUGGACUGUUAUGGAAUUUGUUCUUUGCAAUUUCGUUUUGCCACCAGUGUUGCAGAAAUUAGAUACUUCAUAUUUAAUGUUUUUUUUUUUUUUUUUCCACAGUGGCUUCACAGAGUGAACAUAACUGAAAUAUUGAUGUCACUUCUAUUUAAUAUUUAAUAAUAAUUAAUAAUAAUUAAUAAUUAAUACUAAUUAAUAAUUUAAAAAUGAAAACAGAUAUGCAGUACAUGUAAUUACACUAUAGUUCAAAUUCAAGGUAAUUUACCUAAUUUGUUGUGUUCAGAAUCAGUAUCACUUGAUAGCACCACCUGUUGGCAACAGAAAGUGAGAUGUUUUACAUUCUGAUGCACUCCUACCAACAUAUUCAAAUAUGCCAGCAAGUGGUAAAUAUGCUAGCAACAUGCUAGAAACAUGUUUCACUAUGCUAGCAACACUUAACUAAGUGCUAAAGCAAGUUUUUAUAACGCAAACAUACAAUGUUAAAUCUGUACCAAACUUCACAUAUUUGAUACGAAUCUGGGUCUCAGACUAUCUACAUGCCAAUAUUGGGAUAAAUUCGCACCUUUAAUAUUUGUAUACCGUGUUGAUAUUUCUGUAAAGCUGCUUUGAGACAAUGUCUAUUCUAAAAAACGCUAUACAAAUAAAAUUGAAUUGAAUUGAAUUGAAUAUUCAGUUAUAGUCAUAGCGCCACCUACUGCCAACAGGAAGUGACAUGAGCUACACUAACUCAGACACUCAAUCUGUUCAAUCUGCACCAAACUUAACAUGUUUUGUACAAAAUCUGGGCUGAGGCUACAUACAUGCUAAUAUUCAGUUAUAGUCAUAACGCCACCUGCUGCCAACAUGGACUGGCAUGUUUUACACUAACUCAGACAUGUUCAAUCUUCACCAGACUUCACAUAUUUGAUACGAAUCCUGCCCUGAAGACAUCUACAUACCAAUAUUCAUUCAUCAUUAUACCGCCACCUGCUGGCAACAUGAAGUGACAUGUUAAACACUAAUGUAUUCCUAGAAACAUAUAAAAAUAUGGCAGCAAAUUCUAAACAUGCUAGCAACAUGCUAGAAACAUGUUAGAACAUGCUAGCAACACUUAGCUAAGUGCUAAAGCAUACUAUUACUGCUAUUAAACAAGAUGUUUUUAUAACUGAAGCAUACAAUGUUCAAUCUGCAUUAACUUAAUAUGUUUUAUACUAAUUCUAGCCUGAAGACAUCUACAUGCCAAUAUUCAGUUAUUAGUCAUAGCGCCCCCUACUGGAAACAGGAAAUUACAUGUUUUACAUCAUAGAACAUACAACACUCCUAACAAUAUAUAAAUGCUAAAAAGUGUUUUAAAAAAAAUGGAACAGAGUGCCCCUGGCAGAGCAGGCCCAACAUGCAUCCGGGUGCAAGGGCCCUUUCAUUAUUAUUAUUAUUAUUAUUAUUAUU